GCAUCAUGCAUGUGAAUAUGUGAUCCUCGCAUAAGGUGGUUAAAUAUACGGACAUCCAAUUCCCAGCACCAUAUGGCUGGACUGGAUCCUGUGUUGAGCUCUACCUUAACUAUACUGAUGCUUAGUUAGUUUCUCAGCCCAACGGCCGGUACCAAACAAAUUUAGGUCUGACGUCUUGUGUGACUCCCAGCGGCGAAGCCAAAAGAAAAUGCAUCGUUGGGACCAUUUUUUAAAUUUACCGGUGUCAUUGCAUAUUAUUGAAAACAUUUUUCUAUUUGUAAGAAGGAUUAGCAAAAAAUCAUGACACCAAUAAUUACGUGCUGGCUAUGCCCCCUGACUCCUAAAAUAUGGACUAUCCUUUUACGGGUAAGCGACAUAUCCCUCAAUAGCGAGGCAUACGCAGUGGUGGAGAAAUGUUAAGGUGUGUGUGUGUAUAUAUAUCUAUAUAUCUAUAUAACUGGGUGUUGGUCGGCGCGAGGCACUUGGGUAACUUGUUGCCAGGAGAUUAGUUUUCUUUUGCUUUUAAUUCUUCGGUGUCAAUUGCCCGUUUUUUUUGUUUUUGUAUUUUUAUAUCUCUUAAUUAAUUCUUCUGUUUCAAAAAAAAAUGUUUGCCAGUUAUGUCCAAAACUUAAAAUGCUAGAAUUUGGAUUGGUCUAAGCUGUACUGAAACUUUCGAGAUUGCGCGAAACAUCCUAUUCUUGGUGUGGAGCGAAAGAAAUUGGAAGACCGUAUGUAAUCGCUCAAGAUUGUAGCUAGCUAGGUUUAUAAUUCAUAAAGGAAAAAGAUAAAAAAACACGGGUUGACAGGUGCAUGCAUGAUC
rnacentral:lncRNA from 1 species